rnacentral:lncRNA from 1 species
CGAGUGGCUAAUCUGCCUUUGCCCUCCGUACUGAUAGCUAACGUUAAAUCGCUAGAAAAUAAAUGGGAAGAACUGAAGGAACAAAUAUCCUACCAAAGGGACAUUAAAAACUGUAAUAUCUUAUGUUUCACCGAGUUGUGGCUGAACGACGACAUUAAUAACAUAAGGCUGGCAGGUUAUACACGCCAUCGGCAGGACAGAACAGCAGCCUCUGUCUUUCAGAGUUGCGCAAACCACCCUACAUGGAACAGCCAGUGACAGAGAGAAAACCAC